GCACUCGUAGCUCAUUUGGAUAGAGCGCAACGUUGCGGACGUUGAGGUAGUAGGUUCGAAUCCUAUCGGGUGCACAA
rnacentral:tRNA from 1 species